rnacentral:rRNA from 1 species
GGUGGGCACAGAGUGACGGCGAAGCCCGACCUCAACCCUUUGUGACCAACCCUGUUGCUUCGGGGGCGACGCCGCCGCUUCCGCUACGGCGCCCCCGGAGGUCAGCACACUCUGCAUCUUUGCGUCCUAGUCUUAAAGUAAAUUUAUACAAAACUUUCUACAACGGAUCUCCUUCGUUCUGGCUUGGAUGAGGAACCCAUCA